CCAUAUAUAUAAACAAAAAUCAAACCCUAAAUCUACCAGAUGCAUGCCCUCCCUUGUCUGAACAUCUCCGUCUCUGUCCACCUUGUUUCUAUCCGAGAACUGUUGCAGCCUGUCUUUCAGUCUCCUCCUUAACGCUAAGACUACCUACCUUCUUCUAAUUCCCUCGCUUCACCAUCCCAAAACAUCUUCUAAAUAUUCCGUACAGUCUGAAUCCUAGACUGUGUUGAUUAAGGAGCAUCGUCUUCCAUGGAUAUAGAUAAAGAUUCUUUCUGACGGUGUACAUGAGAGUGCUGCAUUUACACUCUCUCAAUACACAGACCAAAAAACAGAUAAAAGGGAGCCAAAUUGGUGCAGAUAUAGAACACAAAUGGAAAGCAAAGAAGAUGAGUAUUGCAAACCAAAAAAAUAAGAGGAUUGAGAAAAGUUUACCAUCCUUCCAAGCAGCCUGAGCUACCUGCAGAUUGCUGAAGUGGCUGGGGUGCUUUCUGUGGAGGUAGGAGGGUAACCUUGGGGCGGGUAAAAGGUUGAAGAUAAGCAUCCUUGGGAUAUCCUUCCGGUGAAUAAUCUAUUCCAGAAACUCAAAAGUCCAUCAGAUCCGUUUCCAAAAAUUGGCAAAAGAUGAUUCAAUCGAAGAAGAUAACUGAAAAAAGCUUACCUUGAGGAUGCGGCACAUCGACGGGAGGCUGAAACUUGUAGUUCAUCACACAACGCGAAGCUGCGCACCAACAAUCCCGGGGACAUCUUCGUUGAUCCCAUAAAUAUGAAAUUUCUUUUUUUUUACAGUUUGUAUUUGAGUUGAAGUUGAAGUCUCUAACAUGUAUCUUGUAUAUAUAAGCGUGCAAGGUAGUGAAUUGAAUAUGCUACUCUACAAAUAGGAGUGGAUACCAAGUACCAACUUUGCAAAGACGCAAUAGGCCACUCCCCUACAAAUAUAGCCUUACACCUACUCUCUGAUUGGUCAAACACUAUGAAAAAAAAAAAAGAAAUCUAAACGCUGUGUUUUUCUUGGACGGGAAAAUGCUGAAAUCUGAUUGGCUGAA